ACUAGACGGACCUUAGUUGGCAAAGUAAUGUCUCUGCUUUUGAAUAUGCAGACUAUUAAAAACCUUCAAAUCAACAUCUAGUUUUAAAUUAUGUGAAUGAUUUAUUUUAUGAGAACUAAUGAUCAAAUCUGGAAGAAAACACAAGCUGACUUCUAUCAAAUUGGGGUUGGGUGGGAUUAGAUGUGACUAAGGCAUCAAUAUGCUAAGGGAUGGAAAAAGAUAUCUUUUGCUUUUAAAAAAUUUUCACUCAAGCCCUUUAGAGAUGAACUUUGAUUACCAUUAACGCUCUGCUAUGAUGACAGUGCUUUGAAAUACUCAGAGGAAUGAGCCAACAAGAUACUUCCUUUCCAAUCUCAUCUAAUGUAGCAAUUAUAAUUUGAAUCAGAGCCAAGGGAAUUAUAACAAUUGCACAGAGUCAAAUGGCAGGAAAACCAAGGUUUAUUCCUCACAUUUAGACCAUCAUUAGUGAAACCCUAUGGACAGUCUGGAGACUAUGAAAAAUGUCAUAAAUUGGUGCAGGUGAUUUUUAUGCAGAGUGGGCAGAGGUACAGAAUUAUUGUAAAAUAAUUUUUAUCUAAUAAUUUGGAAGUCUAGAGAAUGUGCCUGUAUACAGAGAUAAGUUAGGCCCCAAAGUUCCAGUUCAGCUAUUUACCACAGCUGAUUAAACUGACCCUACAUAGGGAGAGAUCAAUUGUUCCCUGUUGCUGUGGUAUGGUAUCAUUUGAACAGCCCAGAUUUUCCCUUCGUGUCACUUGUUAAAAUGGGUGGUGUGUGGAAAUGAUAAGACAUAAAUCAAAGUAUGAUAAAAAUACUGAAAUCCACAUUUAAUGCCUGUAGUUGCUUGCAAUGGGAUUCUGAUAAAACAAAAAGCCUCUUAUAUAUAAAGUUUAAAUAUUAUGUUAAUCAGAAGGCCUGGCGUGCUGUGAUUCAUGGGGUUGCAAAGAGUCGGACAUGACUGAGCGAGUGAACUGAACUGAACUGAGUAUGUAUCUGUUAACUCUCAAUUCCCAAUUUAUCCCUCCUUUCCCUUCCCUUUGGUAACCAUAAUUUUGUUUUCUACAUUUGUG
rnacentral:lncRNA from 1 species